rnacentral:lncRNA from 1 species
CUUAGACUCCAGCCUCGCUCCCUUGGAAGCCACCUAGCCCCGUCCCGCGGAGGACAGCCCGGUUUCCUCGGGUCCAGCUCCGCCCCCUGGAUGACAAACCUGUUUCCUUGGAAGCAUCCCACCGAUUGGGCGACAGCCCCGCCCUUCGGACGUCAGCCCCGCCUUCUCAGGGGCCAGUCAGUCCAGCACUUCGGGCAGCCCCACCUGAGAUCGUCCAGGGGCGGGACUCCGGUCACCGCCGCCACUCCCACCCUCUGGCUGCUAGUACGCGGGCGCCACUGUAGCUCAAGACUCGGUUGGUCCACUCAGCUAAGUGGAGGAGAUGCGGGCGCGUCCCCAGCAAGCCCGCGCGACCGCGCUGGACCACGUAACCGACCCUGCCCCGCCCACGGCCCUACGCGCUGUGCGUGGGCCUCCCGCCGCCUUGUCUGAUGCGCGCCUCGGCGAUCCACACCGCGCGGUGGCGGGGUGCAUGCUGCACGCGGUCGCGCUCGCGGUGCCCCCUCCCCAGCUUGAGAGCAACCCGCGGUUACGUCAUCCGGCUUAUGUAAGAGCCGCAGCUUCCGGGGCUUUUCCCUAACGGGAGGGGGAGCAGGGUCUAGGAGCAGAAGGGUCUGCCCCCCA